rnacentral:sRNA from 1 species
AUAUCUCUCUGUACGGGAAGGAUGAGAAGCUUCGACUAAGGUUCGAUUCGAGCGAAAGCGAGAAAG